rnacentral:rRNA from 1 species
AUGGUUUCUGAGGAAACCAAACCAAAGAAGCAAAGAGACGAGGAAUGCAUUAUAAACUGUCUCCCAGGAGAACUCAUUGAGCGGAUAUUUUUGAAGCUUCCAGUGAGCACUUUGUUGAGGUGCACUGGUGUUUGCGAGCAAUGGCACAAAAUCAUCCGAGAUCCCCAGUUUGUCACAUCACACCUCCAGCAUGCAUCCCAUUAUGCCCUUCUGUUCUUCCCACAAGAGUCGGUCUCACGCGAGCCCCAUCCUGCUGAUGCUAUCCUGAUUGAUGAAGCCUCGUCGCUGUCAACAUAUGCAGUGCCAGUGAUUGGGCCUGAUGAUUUCCUUUGUGGUUCAUGCAAUGGGCUUCUUUGCUUAUACACAAAGUCAUCAACACUCAAGAUAGCUAAUCUUGCAACCGGUGAAUUCCUGCAUCUUGAGAAACCUGUAAAGAAUUUGAGGGGUGAUCACUUCUUGUUCUACAACUUUGGGUUUCACCCAUUGACAAAAGAAUACAAGAUUACACACUUCCUUGGUGAUUUCAUCGAGGGUCGCCCUUGCCUGCGUAAUAAUAACAGAUUCAGCGUCAUUCAAGUUUACACGCUUGGUGAUGAGAAAUGGAGGGAUAUCAAAACUCCAGAAGCCCUAAGCUUAAACUGUGUAAAAAACUCUGGAGCGGUCACUAUUGACGGAACACUGUAUUGGCUAAUUGAAGACAUGGUAGCCAGCUGGCAGCAUGCAGUUAUGACCUUCGAUCUCUGUGGAGAAAGUUUUGCACAGAUACAACUGCCAGCAACUAAACCUGAAGAUUUUGCCGCUGGUGGUUCUCGUCGGUACUGGAUCAGAGAGAUGGAUGGCAAGGUAUGUGUAGCGACUGCUCAAACCUGUCCUUCUCUGCCCAGAAGGCUUGUUGGUAAGCUGCAGAUCUGGGAACUUGAGAACAAAACAGAGCAAAGGUGGAUCCAGAAGUACAAUAUUCAGUACUCGCCAGAUUACAUUCCGGGUCCAAAUUUGGUUCAUGGGGAUAAGAUCAUACUGCAACGUCGUGACGGCAACCUAUAUUCCUAUGAGUUGCUCGGGGAGAACUUCAAUACUAAACUGUGUAAGAUGGCAAAGCUGUUAGAUUUCAGUCCCUACAAGCCUGAGAACAUGCAAUCCUAUAUCUGUGUGAAGUCACUUGUACGUUUAGAUGUAUACAAGAAGACUGCCAUUGCGCGUAGGCCAAAACAGCGGGAAGGCUGGGAAUUGAAGAAGUGGGAGGCGUGGGAGCAUGAGCUCUCUGAGAAUGAAAGAAUGUGGAGCGACACUCACCGAGAUGAGCACAAGGAAACUGUCCGUGCGCAACGCUAUCGCAUGAUGAUCAAUAAUCUGCUGCCGCAUAUAUUGGAUGAUACGGUUCGACAGGAAAUCAGCAUGAACAUCAAUCAAAUAUCUCCAAACUUUCCAGAUCAGCAGCCAAGGCCCAUCCGGCGGCUUAAUUGGGUGGCGCAGAAGCGGGAUAUGCAAAAUUUAAAUGCUCGUAUGAAGAAAUAUAAUACUAUUAUGAAGGCUACGGAUGAGGUAACAAGUAGUAUCAUUAGUAUGAUGGGUAGUGCUAUAGAAGAUCAGAAGCGUGCUUCGAGUUCAAAUGCUGGCAUUUCUUCUCAAGAUCUCAGUGAGGGCGAUGAUGUGAAGACUUUGAUACCUGAGAGCCUACCGUGA